GACGAACGCUGGCGGCGUGCUUAACACAUGCAAGUCGAACGGAAAGGCCCUGCUUUUGUGGGGUGCUCGAGUGGCGAACGGGUGAGUAACACGUGAGUAACCUGCCCUUGACUUUGGGAUAACUUCAGGAAACUGGGGCUAAUACAGGAUAGGAGCUCCUGCUGCACGGGGGGGGAUGGAAAGAUUCGGCGGUGGGGGAUGGAAUCGCGGCUUAUCAGCUUGAUGGUGGAGUAGUGGCGUACAAAGGCUUUGACGGGUAGCCGGCCUGAGAGGGUGACCGGCCACCAUGGGCCUGCGGUACGGCGCAGACUCCUACGGGCCGCAGCGGUGGGGAGUCUUGCGCAAUGGCCCCACGCCUGAUGCAGCGGCGCCGCGUGCGGGAUGCCGGCUUUCGAGUUGUAAACCGCUUUCGCCUGUGCCGAGGCGUGAUUGACGGUAAUGGGUCAAGAAGCACCGGCUAACUACGUG
rnacentral:rRNA from 1 species